UGCCCUGUGACCAAAAGUUUAACGGCCGCGGUAUCCUAACCGUGCAAAGGUAGCGCAAUCAAUUGUCUUUUAAAUGGAGACCUGUAUGAAUGGCAUAACGAGGGUCCAACUGUCUCUUUUUUCUAGUCAAUGAAACUGAUCUGCCCGUGCAGAAGCGGGCAUAAACACACAAGACGAGAAGACCCUAUGGAGCUUUAGACGCUCACCAACCACCAAAAGCAGGUUCACCAACUUUGAACCUCCAAACAAAGUGAAACUGGCACAAACGUCUUCGGUUGGGGCGACCACGGAGGAAAGCAAAGCCUCCGAGAGGAAUUAGGAAAUAACCUUAAACCAAGAGCCACAGCUCUAGGUCACAAAACAUUUGACCGAAAUGAUCCGGCUCCUUGCCGAUCAACGAACCGAGUUACCCUAGGGAUAACAGCGCAAUCCUCUCCCAGAGUCCAUAUCGACGAGAGGGUUUACGACCUCGAUGUUGGAUCAGGACAUCCUAUUGGUGCAGCCGCUAUUAAGGGUUCGUUUGUUCAACGAUUAAAGUCCUACGUGAUCUGAGUUCAGACCGGACCCCCUCUUUU
rnacentral:rRNA from 1 species